rnacentral:rRNA from 1 species
ACUGAACGCUGGCGGCAGGCCUAACACAUGCAAGUCGAGCGGAUGACGGGAGCUUGCUCCUUGAUUCAGCGGCGGACGGGUGAGUAAUGCCUAGGAAUCUGCCUGGUAGUGGGGGACAACGUUUCGAAAGGAACGCUAAUACCGCAUACGUCCUACGGGAGAAAGCAGGGGACCUUCGGGCCUUGCGCUAUCAGAUGAGCCUAGGUCGGAUUAGCUAGUUGGUGGGGUAAUGGCUCACCAAGGCGACGAUCCGUAACUGGUCUGAGAGGAUGAUCAGUAACACUGGAACUGAGACACGGUCCAGACUCCUACGGGAGGCAGCAGUGGGGAAUAUUGGACAAUGGGCGAAAGCCUGAUCCAGCCAUGCCGCGUGUGUGAAGAAGGUCUUCGGAUUGUAAAGCACUUUAAGUUGGGAGGAAGGGCAGUAAGUUAAUACCUUGCUGUAUUGACGUUACCGACAGAAUAAGCACCGGCUAACUCUGUGCCAGCAGCCGCCGUAAGAC